rnacentral:misc_RNA from 1 species
UGACCAACUCACCCUCGUGGUGGACUUGGAGCUGGCCUAACUGGCCUCUCUUAAAACCAGUGGCGGUGCUCUUAAGCUCUACGCGUAGUAAUUUUUCUCGCGACAGGGUCUUGAUGGUGCUUGCCAGCAACCCCAACUAUUAUAA